ACCUGGUGAUCUUGCCAUGGCCAAGUGCUAUUUAAUAAGACUGAACGGGUGUCCGUUGCAAGGGACUCCGAAGAGCCGUGGCAAGGGGUGAAAAGCCAAUCUAACCUGGAGAUAGCUGGUCUUCUGCGAAACCCGUUUUAGCGGGUCGCCCAUUUAUUGAAAUUAAAUUCGUUACUAGACGGUACGGCACUGGAAGCCACGCAGCUUUUGCUGCAUAAUCGGGGGGCUGUCAUGGCUCUAUCGAUGGCUUCUAACCCCGGAAAUGUAUAGUAUACAAUGAUGGGCAAUCAGACGUAUCGUGAUAAGGCGAUUCGUCAAAAGGGCAACAGCCCAGAACAGGUGUGAAGGUCCCUAACAAGCUACUGAGUGAACACAAGGCAGUCCUCUCCAGUGUCUCUCCACAAAGUGGGCUUGGUUUCCAGGCCUAUCCUUUCAUAUUUCAUAAGGAUAACAAUUUGGCUGUAUGCUGGAAUACCCUGAUAAAUGUUAGAUGGUAUUAUCCUUUACCAAUAAUUCUAAUAUAGGGGCAAUCAGCAGGGAAGUUCAAUAUUUUAACCCCUCAACGACCACACGCCAAAACCAAACUACAGGUUACUUAGAAGUCAAUAAGAAAUGCUAUUCAAUCCUAAUUACAUUAGUGGGUUAGUCCAAGCUAAGUCCUCUAGGUCGUAGCAGGCUGCUCCCUACGAAGACCGGGGUGGAUCUUUUUUUGUGUCUCCUGACCCUCUUAGGCGUACCUAUGCCGCUAGAGGGAAGGAUUUGAUAAAUACCUGUAAUUUAGUAUGAUAUGGUCUAAACAUGGUUGAAAAAUCAUGAUAUAAUAUUGUGGAAGCAGCCACCUUUUAGCGAUAGCGUAACAGCUCAGUGGUCUGAGCCUCCCUGUAAAAAGGGUAUAUUGCCUGGUGAGGGCGCCAAAAAUGUAACGGGUCUAUAGUAGUUGUCUCUCUGUUCCAGCUUUGGAUAUGGAGGGAGUGGCAGUUUCCUUACUAUCUCACCGAAACCCUGUCCUAGAUGUAAAAUUCUAGGGGUAGCAGAAUACCCAGCAAAUGGAAUGAAGCUUGCUCAUUGAGCCGGUGGACAUAGCUGGGCUAAGAAUGCUGACAUGAGUAGCCUAAAAGGAGGGUAAUUCCCUCUUCGCCGAAAGCAGAAGGGUUUCAUUUGUAAGGUCUAUACCUAGAUGAUUAAAGCAGCGGCCUCUAAGGUUCAGAGUAACAAAUUAGUUCCGAUGAGUAACUCUUCUAUAGGGCAGUAACCUUCCUUAUAAGUUUACCUUCAAGUAAUUAGAGGUAUACUUCAAAGAGUAAGGUUCGGGAAAGAGCCCUACAGAAUAAAUCUUAAAACCGUACCCUAAACCGACACAGGUCUGCAAGUAGAGCAUACUAAGGCGUAGAGAUAAUCGUCUUGAAGGAACUCGGCAAAAUGACCCCGUAACUUCGGGAGAAGGGGUGCCACUAAUAAGUGGCGGCACUAAACAGGGGGGCGCGACUGUUUACUUAAAACACCGGACUCUGCUAACACUAGCGUGGAUGUAUAGAGUCUGAUACCUGCCCGAUGCUAGAUAAUCAACUAAGCCGUUCUAGGA
rnacentral:rRNA from 1 species